AAGAGCUCAAAUUUCGAAUCUGGCGGUCCUCGACCGUCCGAGUUGUAAUCUAGAGAAGCGUCUUCCGCGCCGGACCGUGUACAAGUCUCCUGGAAGGGAGCAUCGUAGAGGGUGACAAUCCCGUCUCUGACACGGACCGCCGGCGCUAUGUGAUGCGCUCUCGACGAGUCGAGUUGUUUGGGAAUGCAGCUCAAAUCGGGUGGUAGACUCCAUCUAAAGCUAAAUACAGGCGAGAGACCGAUAGCGAACAAGUACCGUGAGGGAAAGAUGAAAAGAACUUUGGAAAGAGAGUUAAACAGUACGUGAAAUUGCUGGAAGGGAAACGCUUGACGUCAGUCGCGUCGUCCGGGGAUCAACCUUGCUUUCUGGCUGGGCGUAUUUCCCGGUCGACGGGUCAGCAUCGAUUUCGGCCGUCGUAGAAGGACGGGAGUGAAUGUGACACUCUACGGAGUGUGUUAUAGCCUCCCGUAUGGAUGCGACGGCCGGGAUCGAGGAACUCGGCACGGCCCCUCGAAGGGUUCGGGGCUUCGGUCCACGCGGCGUGCCCAGGAUGCUGGCAUAAUGGCUUUAAGCGACCCGUCUUGAAACACGGACCAAGGAGUCUAACGUGCCUGCGAGUGUUCGGGCGCAAAACCCGGGCGCGCAACGAAAGUGAAAGUCGAGACCUCCGUCGUGGAGGGCACCGACGCCCGGACCGGAGCCUUUGGCGAUGGAUCUGCGGUAGAGCAUGUAUGUUGGGACCCGAAAGAUGGUGAACUAUGCCUGAAUAGGGCGAAGCCAGAGGAAACUCUGGUGGAGGCUCGUAGCGAUUCUGACGUGCAAAUCGAUCGUCG
rnacentral:rRNA from 1 species